rnacentral:rRNA from 1 species
AUGCACCGGAUCCCAUCAGAACUCCGCAGUUAAACGCGCUUGGGCUAGAGUAGUACUGGGAUGGGUGACCUCCCGGGAAGUCCUAGUGUUGCACCCU